CGGAAGGGCCACAGAAGUUCCGUAGUGUGAAGUGUCAUCGAUGGUGUGGUUUACUGUGCUAUCUUGGGCUGAGCUCCAGAGUGGCUGGGAUGACAUCAUUGCACACAUCAUGCAUCACCUCCUGCCAGCUCAGCAGGAGAGAUGCAAAGUCAGGCUCCUGAGUCUACCUGGUAUCCACCCCUGGGCAGGGCUGCCUCCUCCUACAGUUCCACACACCUGGAGCUGAUUGCAGGCAAUCAAACCAGAGUGAACCUCCGGAUCUCAGGUCAGCCAUUCCACACCAGCUCACUCAGGAUUCACGUCACCCCUCUCUCAUCACUCACUUCCUCCACCUGCAAUCUGUCUGCUUAACUGACCCCUCCAGUCUGCAUCUCUGGCCCAAUUCCCCCUCUCUAGAUCCACAUCCACUUAGCCACGUUAACUAGGCCUCGCCACGUCAAGUUCUGUGUUUUUGUUGCCUUUUGUCCUUGUCAUGCUUUCAAGUUUAACUAAUAAACAUUGUGA